UAGGUGGCACUGAUGUGCAGUUAAGACCUAUAAAGCUGCAGAGCUCACAGAUGAGUUCUCACAUUCUGGCUUUACAGGACAAGUCUUCUUUGUUUUGAUGUUAUGAUGAACAGCAAUCCCACUACAUCAUUUUCAGACUGUUCCUAGCUAUUUGAGUCAUGCUAUAAAUUUAUCUUCGAUAUCUCAUCAGCUCUAUUAGGACAGUUCUGGGAGUCUUGGGGGGUCCCGCACCUGACCCUGUAUGAGUGGUGCUAAAACCUGAGAAUUGGAUUACAGCUUAUCCAUAUCAGCAGCUGUAGCUUCCUAACAAAGCCUGAUGGGGCCCCUGGGCAUAUUUACAGCAAGACAGAAUUCACCAAGGACACUCCUGACUGGAAAAGUGGAAUGGCAGAGGAAAAUCUGGUGCCAUAAUCCUCUCUCCCUUCAACACAUUACAUUAUGCUCCAGCAUAUUGACUGGCUGACAAUGCCCACAGAAGAAGAAGGUAGAUUUCUAGGAACGGUAGCUAGCCACACAACAAGAGGGUCAGAGUUUAUUUCAGCCUGACAAUGGAGCUUCUGUAAAUCAGUGUGAUCACAGUUUCACUGACAGGUUGACUAACUCUUGCAGUGCCCCUAAAUCACACACACUCGCUGGGCUCAGACCUCACUGCAUGAUUUUAUUUUUUCGUGCAGCGAAUGAAGGCAUUUCAGGCCAAAGCUGCAAUACCAAAACAGAUUCAUUCCAUAUGUUUAAACUGCAAAUGUGCUGGAUUAUAAAUCAAAAUAUUUUAAUUGCAAAAUCAAGAUGUAUGUGCUGUUUUUGUUUUGUGUUUUUGGCUGAAUAAAGUUAGUCAAAAAUGUC